rnacentral:rRNA from 1 species
AGCGAACGCUGGCGGCAGGCCUAACACAUGCAAGUCGAACGAAGUCUUCGGACUUAGUGGCGGACGGGUGAGUAACACGUGGGAACGUGCCUUUAGGUUCGGAAUAACUCAGGGAAACUUGUGCUAAUACCGAAUGUGCCCUUCGGGGGAAAGAUUUAUCGCCUUUAGAGCGGCCCGCGUCUGAUUAGCUAGUUGGUGAGGUAAAGGCUCACCAAGGCGACGAUCAGUAGCUGGUCUGAGAGGAUGAUCGGCCACAUUGGGACUGAGACACGGCCCAAACUCCUACGGGAGGGAGCAGUGGGGAAUCUUGCGCAAUGGGCGAAAGCCUGACGCAGCCAUGCCGCGUGAAUGAUGAAGGUCUUAGGAUUGUAAAAUUCUUUCACCGGGGACGAUAAUGACGGUACCCGGAGAAGAAGCCCCGGCUAACUUCGUGCCAGCCGCCGCGGUAACAC